CAGCCGCCGCGGGAAUACGUAGGGUGCGAGCGUUAAUCGGAAUUACUGGGCGUAAAGCGUGCGCAGGCGGUUAUAUAAGACAGAUGUGAAAUCCCCGGGCUCAACCCGGGACCUGCAUUUGUGACUGUAUAGCUAGAGUACGGUAGAGGGGGAUGGAAUUCCGCGUGUAGCAGUGAAAUGCGUAGAUAUGCGGAGGAACACCGAUGGCGAAGGCAAUCCCCUGGACCUGUACUGACGCUCAUGCACGAAAGCGUGGGGAGCAAACAGGAUUAGAUACCCCCGUAGUCCCUGUCUCUUAUAC
rnacentral:rRNA from 1 species